UUCUACAGCCAUCCUACCCUGAGCAAGUUCAAUCCCAUCUGAUCUCGGAAGCUAAGCAGGGUUGGGCCUGGUUAGUACUUGAAUGGGAGACCACCUAGGAAGACCAAGUGCUGUAACUG
rnacentral:rRNA from 1 species